rnacentral:rRNA from 1 species
GAUGAACGCUGGCGGCGUGCCUAAUACAUGCAAGUCGAACGCACAGCGAAAGGUGCUUGCACCUUUCAAGUGAGUGGCGAACGGGUGAGUAACACGUGGACAACCUGCCUCAAGGCUGGGGAUAACAUUUGGAAACAGAUGCUAUUACCGAAUAAAACUUAGUGUCGCAUGACACAAAGUUAAAAGGCGCUUCGGCGUCACCUAGAGAUGGAUCCGCGGUGCAUUAGUUAGUUGGUGGGUUAAAGGCCUACAAGACAAUGAUGCAUAGCCGAGUUGAGAGACUGAUCGGCACAUUGGGACUGAGACAC